AUGAAGCGUGCGUGCUUACCUGUUGCCGAGCAUGGCGUGGAGCUGGAGGAUGACGGUCUCCUCGUCGGCGGUGAUCUUGCCCCGCUUCAGGUCCGGCCGGAGGUAGUUCACCCACCGCAGCCGGCAGCUCUUGCCGCUCCGCCGCAGCCCGGUGAGCUUGGCGACGGAGUUCCAGCUGCCCUCGCCCUGCUGCUGCACGUACUCGGUCAGCAGCCGGUCCUCCAGCGCCGUCCAUGGCCCCUUCCUCCACGCCCCCUGCAACACCGCGCUGCUCAUCGCGUCCAUGACGCGCCCUCCCUUGCUAUAUAUUACUCCAACUUGCUGAUCUAA
rnacentral:rRNA from 1 species